rnacentral:rRNA from 1 species
AUUGAACGCUGGCGGCAGGCCUAACACAUGCAAGUCGAGCGGAUGAAGGGAGCUUGCUCCUGGAUUCAGCGGCGGACGGGUGAGUAAUGCCUAGGAAUCUGCCUGGUAGUGGGGGAUAACGUCCGGAAACUGGCGCUAAUACCGCAUACGUCCUGAGGGAGAAAGUGGGGGAUCUUCGGACCUCACGCUAUCAGAUGAGCCUAGGUCGGAUUAGCUAGUUGGUGCGGUAAAGGCCUACCAAGGCGACGAUCCGUAACUGGUCUGAGAGGAUGAUCAGUCACACUGGAACUGAGACACGGUCCAGACUCCUACGGGAGGCAGCAGUGGGGAAUAUUGGACAAUGGGCGAAAGCCUGAUCCAGCCAUGCCGCGUGUGUGAAGAAGGUCUUCGGAUUGUAAAGCACUUUAAGUUGGGAGGAAGGGCAGUAAGUUAAUACCUUGCUGUUUUGACGUUACCAACAGAAUAAGCACCGGCUAACUUCGUG